rnacentral:lncRNA from 1 species
GCUAGCUUAGCAUUAGCAUGCUGUCUCUGCAGGUGCAGAGUUGUCUUAGCAAUAUAAUGCAGUUGUUUCUGUCCUGGAGCAGUCUCCACUUUACCAUCAGGGUCUCAUCCUUCUGUGCAAUAAAAAUAAAAGCAAUGUCCAUAUGCUGUAAACUGUGCCACUAUUUUCCUCCUCCAACACACAAACUGAAAUCAGUUAAUCUUAGUAAGACUGCAAGAACUGAUAAGUGGGAUCGAAAAGCACACAGACUAACGAUUGCAAGGAAUUCGACUACUGGGAACGGGUUCUUUACAAGAACCCAUUUCCCAUUCCAAAUUCCCAUCUCCAAUGUGGAAAGGUCAGGGGUGGACAUUAGGGGUGGACAUUACACACCAGUAUGUCCACAGGGAAAAAAAUCUCUCUCUUGCAGUCUCCUUCACUUAUUUUCGUGUUUUGCUUUUCCUCACUUCUAGUAUGCAGUAACCACUGAUCCACCUCAGUUAUAUGCUCUUUCGCUAGCUAGCUAACAUAAACUAGCCAUCCAUUUUCUUGGAGUUGCCCCAGGUGGAGCACCCUCAAGCACCCCCUCCUACCCACCUCUCACCAAGGGCAGCUUCAGACUGUGAGUCCAGCCACUCUUCAGGAGACUGGUGCCAGAGUCCAAGCCAUGUGUUGAGGUGAGCCCGACUGCAUCUAGUGGGUACCUCUCAACCUCACACACUUGCUCACGCUCCUUUCCCACCAGAGAAGGGACAUUCCAUCCCCCAGUCGCUAUUCUUGAUAGCCGGGGAUCAGUCGCCCAGGGUCUCUGCUCUUGGCUGCCGCCCGCCACACUAACGUAAACUAAGCAUAAACUUUGUACCAGAGGUGUUAAACAUGCUCUAAAAAGGUUAACUUUAAACACUUUUUACUUGAAUCCCGCUACACAGUGUUAAAUUGAUGCCAGUUUUUACCCCUUAACUGUUAAAGUCUGAUGGGGUAUUGUUGUCACCCCCAGGGUGGCAUACAUACCCAAGUCUGUGAAUGCGAUAACUCAAGAAUGAGGCGUAGUAGGAAUAUGAAAUUAAUAUUAUAGGUGCAUCUACUGAAAAUCUCUGACAAGUUUGAAUCUCGGUGACCA